rnacentral:lncRNA from 1 species
CCUUGGGAAGCUUUCCACAUGGGCUGGGGAGGAGAAUUGUAGACACAGAGCCUGUCCCUGGAAAGGCAGAGCAGUGUCUUCUGGCCAACGCACUGGAAAGGGGCUGUGUCCAGCCUUUAGUCCCAAGGUGAGGCAUGAGGAUGUUGCUCAGGCUCCCAGGUCUCACAGCCAAGGAUGCCGCACAGACUCACUACUACCUGGUCUCGCCUUGCUGGACCAUGAAGAGCAUCACCUGAUGCAGGGUUGGCUUCCUUCCUCAGGGCUUAGGCACUGACGACAGCACCCUCAUCAGAGUGAUGGUGUCUCGAGCAGAGAUUGACAUGCUGGACAUCCGGGCAAACUUCAAGAGGCUCUACGGGAAGUCUUUGUACUCUUUUAUCAAGGGCGACACUUCUGGAGACUACAGGAAGGUUCUGCUCAUUCUCUGUGGAGGAGAUGAUUAAAAGCAAGGUGCAGGACGGAAGGCUUCUUAACACUGAUUUUGUUUUUAACUUCAUUUUUCUGCACUGCUAUUAACAUUAUCUCAAAUGCUUAUUUCCAAUUAAAACGCCUCCAGUUGCCUCCUAGGAUCCAGACUGUUAUUAUCGUCUAUAAUUAGUCAUUUUGAUGCCUUAAACUUGUACUUUCAAAGCUUUUAAGACAUACGUGGAGAUUUAGAAUUAGAAAUUAAAAUGUGCUCCAUGUCUUUAUCAGAUUAUUUCCUCGUUUGUGUUUUGUAGAGAUUUGAAUGCACUAAAUCCUUCUAGAUUUUCUUUUUUUGGUACGAACAGAACAGAAGAGAAGCCAUUUUCUUCCCUGGGAAGUCAGUCAUUUCUUUAUGUGGGACCAUCAGCGUCUCUUACUGAGAUUAGCCAUCUGGUCUCCUAUUUUACACAGA